rnacentral:lncRNA from 1 species
AAAAUUGAUGCAAAACCGAUCAGAUAGUGAUUCAACAGCACCAAAUGCCCAGCAAGAUCCACAAUGACCCUGUAUUAUCAAAUACAGAUGGAGUAAGAAGAUGUAUACCUCACUUAGUUGAAUUGAUUCGAGUUGAUAAAACCUGAUCUUUUACCUGAUCUGUGGUUAGGAAAUUGAUCCAGCAUUUGCCAUAAAGAGUGGAAAGCAUCAGCACCUUGAGAAGAGAAGAAAAAAGACUGUGAAAAUAGAGAACCAAGUAAGCAACUGACCUAGAAUUCUUCCAAUGGUGCUACAUUGUGGCCAAGCACUCCUUGCAUCAAAUUCCUUGGGCAACUUCAAGGACUUUGGAUGACUCACAAGAGGAACACCCCUCAGUUCCUUUUUGGGAGUUGGCUUGACUCCAAGAAGAUACUUGA